UCCACCGAGUGACAACCUCCAGCUUUGGUUUCAGAACCAGGAAAAGAUGAUUAGAAGCAAGAGUCCUAGUUAAAGCACAUGGAAGUUUUUGGCAGUGCAUUGCCUAGAUAACCAGUAGCGUGUUUCCUUCCUGGGGCUAAAAGAGAAAGGAUGGAGUUGGCUUUGGCAUUUUGCAAUUCAGACAAUUCAAGCUGAUGCAUUCUUUUUAUCUUUGAGCUGGAAAAGAUCUUCCUCAUUUCUAAGAUCUACUGCCAACAUUGUCUUGACCAACCAGAUGUCAAAUUAUAUACUGAUGGUACACAGAAACAAUUAAUUUGGUGUUCUGCAACAAAGCAACUUAUGUGGUGGACAAAAAUUUUUAGUAAAAAUUUGACCUUUUCACAUUUUCAAAAAGUAAAUUGCUUUUUCCAAAGAGUACAGAAUUUGAUCCAGUUAAACAACCUACCCAUUUAUCAUCAAUCAAUAGUUGAACUAAUUUAUGCAGAAAUUAUCCAAGCCACCAAAACGUAUUUUAAAAAACAAAAGCGGCAGCCACAGCACUUCAGAGCGAAGAAUCUAACAACACAGGACUAUCCUGCUCUGACUAAAAACUUAUGUCUGAGAAGUAAAUGUUAAGUGGAACGCUUAUCCUUUUCCUUUUUAGUUUAAUAUAGUAUACUUGAAUUAUAGUUCUACACAUGUCUAUGUUGUGAGUUUCAAUUAGCUCAAUUGAUCAGCUGAAACUGGAAUUUGUUCCCAUGGUAGCCUUGCUGCAAUAUUUCUUUAUCUGGAUCUUUACAGCAAAGUGCUGGGAAGAGGGGGAAUGACAAAUAUGCUAUGCAGAAGUAAAAUCCAAAGUGGCCAUCUCAGUGUGCUCCACUUGAUGAACAAAACUGAUGAAGCUCAUUCUUUUUCAUUAACCAAUAUUAGUUGUGUAUUAUGUGCAAUAUCAAUUGAUAACUUACAAUGCAUGUCCAAUGUAACCAGUUAUUUUGGUUAUUUGUUUUGCUUCUAAUUAUUGUUAGGAAUAGGAAAUUAGUACUUAAAUACAUCUCACUCAUAUUUGGGGAAUGCAUGUUCUUAAUCAUUCAUUUGCUUUAAUACAUAUUUAAAUUUAUAUAUGAGCAGCAUCAAAUAAUGAACACUAAAGAAUAAUAAGCCUGCAAGGGACUAGGUUUAGAAGCUAGGGGCCUUAUUCAAGGCUGUCUCUACCACAUAUUAAUUUACAUCAACAUCUUAUAUAAAUCAAUUCGUAUCUUAAUACCAUCCACAAGGAGAAAACAAGUCUAAAGACAUCUGCCCUGUUCAAAAGUUUUAUCAGCAGCACUAACCAGUUAGUAGCCUAUCUUAGAUAAAAUCAUUUAUUUAUGAAAUCACAGCAUUUUUGUGGCUCACAAAAUGAGAAGAUUGAAUAAAAUAUAAAAGAUAAAGGUGUAACAACUAAAACCCCAAACAUAGUGCAUAGCAUCAGAUCCCCAAAAGCUUGCCAGAAAAGCUCUGCUUACAGCUUUUACUAGAAGACAGACAAGAUUGGGGUGAAUCUCCAACUGAUAGACCAGCCCCAUAACUGAAAAAGACUUAUUUUGCCCCACUGAUCUGUAGAAAAUAAUGGAUCAACCAUCUGUUUUUCCUGGCAUGACUGAAAAGGUAACCAACCCAUAAAGGGCUUUUUGUGUAAAAAUCCAGCAUCAACUGGUUGGUGGUAAUUUGCAGUCCCAAAUUAGAAGCAGCCCCAAAUGAAUGUUGCAGUAUACUAGUUGGGUGGUGAUGAGCCACUGAAGUCAGGUCUUCUCGUUCCAAAUAAAACUGCAUCUGAUGCAUCAUGGACAUGUAAAGCUGCAUAAGGGCCUCCCAGGACGUGGCCUCAACCUGCUGGUCCAGCAGGACUCGUGAGUCUAAGCAGAUUCCCAAGUCACGGACUUUUUCAAAGUCAGGGCCACCCCGUCUACAGAUAAAACAGGGAUGUAUAAAGAAACCUUGGGGUAAAACUAGCUGUAGAACAGUAUGAAUCUGCUUUCUCCAAUGCACAGCUUCCAGCUAUCAGGACAUUAUUUGGAUGGCAGCUUCAAGUGCAAGGGAAGUGUUCAGAAUCUCCUGGAUCACAGACCUAUUACCUCCCCAGCAGCCCAAAAGAGUCAAUGGGACAAGACUCAGCCCUCAAGUGGUUGCAAAUAUCAUAGAGAGCACCUUAUCCAUUUCCUUAGAGAUAACAGACCAAAGAGAAAACCAAGUAACCAAACAAGAUGGGGCCACAGAAUCCAGACAAUGGUGAAUUUGAGCAUUUUUACAGUGAAAUCCACUGGAGUUAGGCAGCCCAAAAGGUAAAUAAAUAAAUGUCAAGCAAAUUGGUCACAGUGGCCUGAUGGUAAAUCAACAGGAUAACUCUUACCUCUGGAAAAGGGCCAGCAGAUAACAACCAGUCAAUGUCAUAAGGGAGAAGCAAUAAUGAUUCAGAGUAAACUUGAACCUGUGCAUGUAUCCAAUUUUUUGCAUAGAAUAGAUAUAUCUUCCUAUUCAGAUUACAUACAAUCUGAAUCUGCCUACAAUAUAGGGAAGGCAUCGGAUGAAGUAAAUAAUAUGGUUAUGCAAGGUAUUCUUUGAAAUGAUAAAACAGCUGCAUUCCUAUAAAGCUUGUGCUGCUACUUCAACGCCUGUCCCGAUGGUGCAUGCACACAUCUAUGCAAACAAUCUACACUUCCAUUGGGACUGCCAAUGAAGCAAUCAUGUAUAUACAGGUGGAAACAGACAAGGACAACUUUCAAAGAAUCAUGUAAGUCUUGCAUAGGACAGAACUGCUUUGGAACAUUUGUGAAGCAUUUUUAAAAAAAUGUUUUGCUGAAGUCUAUUAAAUGAGGAAAAACAUUUGCAAUUUUAGUGCUGCAGCUCAGAAAAAUGUUUUCUACAAAUCAAGAUCUGGUGUAUAUAUAACAAAGGCUAGGAAAGAUCCUGUUGGAAACAGCUGUCACUCAACAUGGAAAGAACUAGACCAGACAGAUUAAGAAGUCUGCUUCCGUGUAGGGCAGCAUCUUUAAGGUACAUUGUAGAGACCUGAAAAUCUAGUAAUAGGUUUCCUGUAGAGCUCCCUAAGUUACCUCGAUUUAAUUAGUGUGGGCCUAGUUUACUUUUAAAGCUGAGCCAUAAUGUAUUUGGAUUAGCCUGUUGUGCAAAUUCACCCAUUAUGGGUUAGCACUAUGUGCAAUCCAGUCCACCAGAGCUUGGUCAACCAUUCAUAGUUAAAUAAAUUCUGGCAUGUCACUGUGCAGGAAUACAAGCAGUACAGCUGCAUAAGCUAAAGGGCAAUGGGGAUUUACAGCCAAUAACCUACAAACACAAGCCAUAAAGCCCUAUUAAAUGAGGGUAUUUUUGCCAAGAAAAUAUGAGAAGGAAAAGGGAAAUUUAUAAUAGAAAUAAGUGUCAGAAAUGUCCAUCUUAGAUGAAGAAAAUAUAGAGCUUGCACUCCUUUUGGUAUCUAGAACGUUUAACAGUGUGUUGUUAGGUCAAGGAAUCAAACUUAAAUUUUUGUCUCAAGUUAAUUAAAUUAUAUUUUUAAACAGACUAUACAAAAAUCUGCUUAAAAUGUUCAUUUAGCUGUCUCAAUAGUCAAAUUCAUCAGGCAUAAUGUUUGCCUCCAUGAAGGUCUCUUAAAAAGUGCCAAAAUAAAUAAUAUUGCAGACCUUGCUCAGAGAGAUUAAUGCAUCUCUUGAAUCAGAAUGCUGGGCAAAGUUUUAUCUAUAUUUAAGUAAAUUUAUUCAACAAGCCAGGAAAUUUUGGUAAACAUAUUAGUUUUCUCUUUGCUUUACAAGGCCACUGCCAGGUACUUGACUAGAUCAAAGAAUCCAAAGAAAAUAAAUGA